rnacentral:rRNA from 1 species
UACGGAGGGUGCAAGCGUUAUCCGGAUUCACUGGGUUUAAAGGGUGCGUAGGUGGGCAGGUAAGUCAGUGGUGAAAUCUCUGGGCUUAACCCGGAAACUGCCGUUGAUACUAUCUGUCUUGAAUGUAGUGGAGGUGAGCGGAAUAUGUCAUGUAGCGGUGAAAUGCUUAGAGAUGACAUAGAACACCCAUUGCGAAGGCAGCUUACUACGCCUAUAUUGACGCUGAGGCACGAAAGCGUGGGGAUCAAACAGG